ACAUGCAAGUCGAACGUGAAAGGCUUCGGCCAAGUAAAGUGGCGUACGGGUGAGUAAUACAUGGGUAAUCUUCCAAUCAGCGUGGAAUAACCGGCCGAAAGGCUGGCUAAUACCGCAUAGUGCGAGAGCUUCUUCGGAAUCACUCGGGAAAGGGAGCUCGCAAGAGCCCUCACUGACUGAUGAGCCCAUGCCCCAUUAGCUAGUUGGUAAGGUAAUGGCUUACCAAGGCUUUGAUGGGUAGCUGGUCUAAGAGGAUGAUCAGCCACACUGGAACUGAAACACGGUCCAGACUCCUACGGGAGGCAGCAGUAGGGAAUAUUGCGCAAUGGACGAAAGUCUGACGCAGCAACGCCGCGUGAGUGAAGAAGGCCUUCGGGUUGUAAAGCUCUGUCAUACGGGACGAACAACCAGUGAGUGAAUAGCUCAUUGGUCUGACGGUACCGUAGGAGGAAGCACCGGCUAACUCUGUGCCAGCAGCCGCGGUAAUACAGAGGGUGCAAGCGUUGCUCGGAAUUAUUGGGCGUAAAGGGUAGGUAGGUGGUCUCAUUUGUCUGUGGUGAAAUCCUUGGGCUCAACCCAAGAAGUGCCUCGGAAACGGUGAGACUGGAAUAUUGGAGAGGGUCGCGGAAUUCCCGGUGUAGCGGUGAAAUGCGUAGAGAUCGGGAGGAACACCAGUGGCGAAGGCGGCGACCUGGACAAUUAUUGACACUAAACUACGAAAGCGUGGGGAGCAAACAGGAUUAGAUACCCUGGUAGUCCACGCUGUAAACGAUCGGUACUAGACUUGACGAGAUUUGACCCUUGUCGAGUCGGAGCUAACGCAAUAAGUACCGCGCCUGGGGAGUACGGUCGCAAGAUUAAAACUCAAAGGAAUUGACGGGGGCCCGCACAAGCGGUGGAUCAUGUGGUUUAAUUCGAAGCAACGCGAAGAACCUUACCUGGAUUUGACAUCCUCUGACAUCCAUAGAGAUAUGGCUUUCGUAGCAAUACGACAGAGAGACAGGUGCUGCAUGGCUGUC
rnacentral:rRNA from 1 species